CGAAAGCGUGGGGAGCGAACAGGAUUAGAUACCCUGGUAGUCCACGCCGUAAACGGUGGAUGCUGGAUGUGGGGCCCGUUCCACGGGUUCCGUGUCGGAGCUAACGCGUUAAGCAUCCCGCCUGGGGAGUACGGCCGCAAGGCUAAAACUCAAAGAAAUUGACGGGGGCCCGCACAAGCGGCGGAGCAUGCGGAUUAAUUCGAUGCAACGCGAAGAACCUUACCUGGGCUUGACAUGUUCCCGACAGCCGUAGAGAUGCGGCCUCCCUUCGGGGCGGGUUCACAGGUGGUGCAUGGUCGUCGUCAGCUCGUGUCGUGAGAUGUUGGGUUAAGUCCCGCAACGAGCGCAACCCUCGCCCUGUGUUGCCAGCACGUCAUGGUGGGAACUCACGGGGGACCGCCGGGGUCAACUCGGAGGAAGGUGGGGAUGACGUCAGAUCAUCAUGCCCCUUACGUCCAGGGCUUCACGCAUGCUACAAUGGCCGGUACAACGGGAUGCGACAUGGCGACAUGGAGCGGAUCCCUGAAAACCGGUCUCAGUUCGGAUUGGAGUCUGCAACCCGACUCCAUGAAGGCGGAGUCGCUAGUAAUCGCGGAUCAGCAACGCCGCGGUGAAUGCGUUCCCGGGCCUUGUACACACCGCCCGUCAAGUCAUGAAAGUGGGUAGCACCCGAAGCCGGUGGCCUAACCCCUUGUGGGAUGGAGCCGUCUAAGGUGAGACUCGUGAUUGGGACUAAGUCGUAACAAGGUAGCCGUACCGGAAGGUGCGGCUG
rnacentral:rRNA from 1 species